AAGACUACUUUCAGGGAUCAUUUCUAUAGUUUGUUACUAGAGAAGCUUCUCUGAAGAGCACCCAAGGGAUUAGGAAGUACAAAUGGAC
rnacentral:snoRNA from 1 species